rnacentral:lncRNA from 1 species
UUGGAUGUUCUUGUUCACUGUAAAUUACCAUUCACCAUCCCCUCCCUAUCUCAAGUAGUUCAGUGAACAAUCUGCCCAUCUAUACCUAAAAGGCAAGAGUUCUUUCUUUCCUUCUUGGCAGGAAUACUUGGAAAUUUUAAACAAUUUAAAUAUCAACUGCCUUAUGUUCUUCUUACCCUUUCACGAAAUGUCAAACAUUCAUAUUUUCAAUACUAAUGAACAACCACCAAUUGUUUUAAUUUCAUUAUUUUCUCAGCUGAAAGAGUGCUUACAGAGCACAGAAAUAGCUAAGCUUUCUUUUUAUAGAUCUCAGUGGUGAUUUUAAAACAAGUUUAGACUGAAAGAAAAAAAUACUGAUUUUUUUCCCCUCUGAGUAGAAUUCUCUUGAUUAAACUGGCCUUCAUUAUCUAUCCAUCAGUUGAAAAAUAAGAUCCUAGGAGAAGAUCUCAAAAUCUAGGGCUUGUGAGGGUUUUAACAAGCCAUUUGCUGGUCUCCAGGCAGGACUGAAUUCUAUUUGUACUGACAGCAAUUCUACCUGUUCUUAAAAAUAGCUAGCUCUGCCACCUUAAAUGGUAACAAAUUCUAGGAGAGAUGGUUCGGCUUUCUGACUAGUAUCCAGGCACAGCACACAGUGUACCAUGGCUCAAAACCAGAACUGCCAUAAUUUUGAAAUUCAACCUAAAUGGUAGCUCUUCCACCCACUUGCUACUCCACAGGAGGAGUGUUAAGAGAUUUUGGAAAUAACAUUUGCUCUUCUAGUGACAGAUUUCUUUUUUAGUUCAUAAAAUGACAUUCUCUAGAUUGGGAUAAAUAAAUAUGUCUUCCAAAAGGAUGUAACGUUCUUCCUCGGCCCUAAGGAACAGUUUCAGAUGGGGAGAUGAAGGUUGAAUCCUUGG